GGGAAUAUAACUCAGUGAUAGAGCACUUGUCUAGCAAGUGAGAGGCCCUGGGUUCAAUCCCCAGUACCA
rnacentral:tRNA from 1 species